CGAAUUAGGUGAGACGUUUGGUGGCUAUUGGGGCGCAUUCCCCGACGACAUAUUCAAUAUUAAACCCGAUAAUUAUACAAAAUAUUAUACAUUGAAAACUACACCGAAGACUGUUGAAACCAGUCCAGUAUAUACACAAGAGGAGACGGAAGAAACGAAACAGACAAUAUAUCACACACAAGAAACAUCGACAGAGGGAGAUUUUGUUAGAGUCGAAGUGCCGUUAUUGAAUGUCUCGGGUGAUUUUGGGCUUGAUGAAGUCCCGAAUAAGAAACAAGACAUGGAAGAACUACUUGAUUUAAUAUAUGACGUCGCUCCUCGAAAUCGUGGUAUUUACGAUACAACUGUGUACCCAUUAGUCGAGUUUUCAAUCGAAAAGCAAGAGAAACAAAAUGGCGGACGUAGAUAUGAUCUUGUCUAUGGGAGUGAAUACACACCAGAC